CCGCCUGGGGAGUACGGCCGCAAGGUUAAAACUCAAAUGAAUUGACGGGGGCCCGCACAAGCGGUGGAGCAUGUGGUUUAAUUCGAUGCAACGCGAAGAACCUUACCUGGUCUUGACAUCCACAGAAGAAUCCAGAGAUGGAUUUGUGCCUUCGGGAACUGUGAGACAGGUGCUGCAUGGCUGUCGUCAGCUCGUGUUGUGAAAUGUUGGGUUAAGUCCCGCAACGAGCGCAACCCUUAUCCUUUGUUGCCAGCGGUCCGGCCGGGAACUCA
rnacentral:rRNA from 2 species